AGCUGUUAGUUUACUCAUGAAUAUCGCUGAAUUUAAGCCUAUAACUAAGCGGAGAGAAAGAAACUAACAAGGAUUUCCCAAGUAAUGGCGAAUGAGCGGGAAAAAGCCCGGCGCUAAAUCGUUUUAACCUUUGUCUCUAAGGAACUGUAGCGUAUAAAUGUAACUUGUUGGAGAGACUGUGAUUUAAAAAAAAAUAAAAUAAGCAAAUGCAAUGCGUGUAUUUUGUGCUACUUUCCACGUGGAAUUUCCUUUGAGCAUCCAGAGCAGUUCCAGCAAUCAUCGAUCGACUGGACAUGCAAAUUUUUAUGGUAAAAUGUGCAUACGGUCGCUGCUCAGUGCUAUAAAAGACGAGCAAAACAAUGAAUGCUGUCAUUGCUCCAUAUUAGUUGUCCAUCAUCGUGCUAACAUCCUGACACAGCCAUGGAUGAUGAAUGUAGCCGUU
rnacentral:ncRNA from 1 species